UUGUGCCCACGUGUCGCCGCGCCGUUGCUCUCGACCGCCGCUCGAGCCGUGCUUAUCCCGUCCCGGUGUCCAAGUCCGUUUUCCCCUUCCCUUCGUUCUCCUCGAGCUCGGGCGGAGCCGAGUCGAGCAGUGCCGCCGCCGGCGUCGCACCGGCCAAACCCCGCCGCCCCCGCUAGAUUCUUCGCACCCCAAGCCGCUUCGCCUUGCCCCGCACCUAUUCCACCUCUUCCCGAGCUCGGCCGUGCCGUUUCCCGGCCGGAAUCGAGCCGCCAUCACCGGCCGCCAUUGAUGCUCCCGUCGAUCUCCGCCCCCGGCCGUCGAUCUCCUACUUCCGGUCCACCUCCGCCCGAUUCGAGAGCAUGGUACGAUAGAUGAACCACGUGAAGGAUGUGCUAUUGGAGCCGAACCCGAAGACGAUGUUGGUGGACGCACCCAGAAGAUGGAUGGAUGGACCCGAUGUGCAUUACCCAAAGGAAGAUGUCCGCCAAGCGAAUAUCAUCUAACCAACACUAACUAAUUCAGUGUUAAUCCCAGGCAAGCCCCGGAGCAUAACCAUAAUUUAAAUUAUUCAAUGUUUAUUUAAGUAUUUGUGCAUUUAAGUUUUAGGAGUUGUAUGAAACCCUAGUAUGCAUCUUCUCCCUAGGUACCCAUGAGUCCAUACUAGUGUGCAGGUAUCGUUAGCAAUGCUCUGCUAAGUUGGAUUUCGGUAGAAGUCGAGUGAUUGCUGUCACUCGCGAGUUUUAGGAUCUUGAUUCCUUAGCUAUGGCUGUGAAAUGAGUUGUUGAGUAAAGAGAAAUGGAGACCGGGCAGAAAUGAGUUGGAUUAAUGGUAUAGAAUGAUGAAAAGAAA